CGCUUAUGGAUGAGCCCGCGUCUGAUUAGCUAGUUGGUGGGGCAACGGCCUACCAAGGCGACGAUCAGUAGCCGGCCUGAGAGGGUGAACGGCCACACUGGGACUGAGACACGGCCCAGACUCCUACGGGAGGCAACAGUGGGGAAUAUUGCGCAAUGGGGGAAACCCUGACGCAGCGACGCCGCGUGAGCGAUGAAGGCCUUGGGGUUGUAAAGCUCUGUUUUAGGGGACGAAUGUUACAGGGAGUAAUAUGUCCUGUAAAUGACGGUACCCUAAGAGGAAGCCCCGGCUAACUACGUGCCAGCAGCCGCGGUAAGACGUAGGGGGCGAGCGUUGUCCGGAAUUACUGGGCGUAAAGAGCACGUAGGCGGAGACUUAAGUCAGGUGUGAAAGACCGGGGCUCAACCCCGGGGUGGCACUUGAAACUGGGUCCCUUGAGGGCAGGAGAGGGCAGUAGAAUUCCUGGUGUAGCGGUGAAAUGCGUAGAAAUCAGGAGUAAUACCAGUGGCGAAGGCGACUGCCUGGACUGACCCUGACGCUGAGGUGCGAAAGCGUGGGUAGCA
rnacentral:rRNA from 1 species